GAUGAACGCUGGCGGCGUGCCUAAUACAUGCAAGUCGAGCGAACGGACGAGAAGCUUGCUUCUCUGAUGUUAGCGGCGGACGGGUGAGUAACACGUGGAUAACCUACCUAUAAGACUGGGAUAACUUCGGGAAACCGGAGCUAAUACCGGAUAAUAUUUUGAACCGCAUGGUUCAAAAGUGAAAGACGGUCUUGCUGUCACUUAUAGAUGGAUCCGCGCUGCAUUAGCUAGUUGGUAAGGUAACGGCUUACCAAGGCAACGAUGCAUAGCCGACCUGAGAGGGUGAUCGGCCACACUGGAACUGAGACACGGUCCAGACUCCUACGGGAGGCAGCAGUAGGGAAUCUUCCGCAAUGGGCGAGAGCCUGACGGAGCAACGCCGCGUGAGUGAUGAAGGUCUUCGGAUCGUAAAACUCUGUUAUUAGGGAAGAACAUAUGUGUAAGUAACUGUGCACAUCUUGACGUUACCUAAUCAGAAGGCCACGGCUAACUACGUG
rnacentral:rRNA from 1 species